rnacentral:rRNA from 1 species
CCUACGGGGGGCUGCAGUGGGGAAUUUUGGACAAUGGGCGCAAGCCUGAUCCAGCAAUGCCGCGUGCAGGACGAAGGCCUUCGGGUUGUAAACUGCUUUUGUACGGAACGAAACGGUCUCUCCUAAUACGAGAGGCUAAUGACGGUACCGUAAGAAUAAGCACCGGCUAACUACGUGCCAGCAGCCGCGGUAAUACGUAGGGUGCAAGCGUUAAUCGGAAUUACUGGGCGUAAAGCGUGCGCAGGCGGUUAUAUAAGACAGAUGUGAAAUCCCCGGGCUCAACCUGGGACCUGCAUUUGUGACUGUAUAGCUAGAGUACGGUAGAGGGGGAUGGAAUUCCGCGUGUAGCAGUGAAAUGCGUAGAUAUGCGGAGGAACACCGAUGGCGAAGGCAAUCCCCUGGACCUGUACUGACGCUCAUGCACGAAAGCGUGGGGAGCAAACAGGAUUAGAUACCCCGGUAGUC